rnacentral:rRNA from 1 species
UACGAAGGGGGCUAGCGUUGUUCGGAAUUACUGGGCGUAAAGGGCGCGUAGGCGGUACUUCAAGUCAGGCGUGAAAGCCCCGGGCUCAACCUGGGAACCGCGCUCGAGACUGGAGAACUAGAGUUCGGGAGAGGAUGGUGGAAUUCCCAGUGUAGAGGUGAAAUUCGUAGAUAUUGGGAAGAACACCGAUGGCGAAGGCAGCCAUCUGGACCGACACUGACGCUGAGGCGCGAAAGCGUGGGGAGCAAACAGG